ACAAAAACUAUGAUAAGAAGAGUAGAUAUAAGAGGUAGUUAAAGCGAGUUGGUGAGGGUGGAAGACCAAUAUGAAGCUUAUAUUGAAGAACAUCUUUGAGUUUCUAACCGAAAUCCUUUGGAGAGUAGACUUAGACGGCAUCAUACCGUUAUCCUUGGACAGUAUCGAGAACUCUCCGUACUGAUAGAGCCGGUGAUUAUUAUCACAAAUUGGGUGGUACCGCGAAAUAAUGCUUUUCGUCCCUUUA
rnacentral:ncRNA from 1 species